UCUAUCUGUAAAGUUGCCUCCCUCUCUGUACCAGGAAGAAGAAAGGAGAUGACCUUCUCUCUAAAAACUCUUAAUCAAUACCAAAGACAAGGACUUAAAAUCUGCAUUUUAUUGUGCUACUCUGGUAACCUCCUGGAGCUAACUUCCCUCCCCCUCCCAACGCUGGCAUUUCUUAAUGAUUAAACAUCUUUCCUUAGGCUAGGAACUGAUUGCUGAGCUCACCUGUGACCGCCCAGCUCCAGACAAUCGACUUGCCUCCAGCUACGCCCUCUGAGACAGCAGACCACUACCUGCUGUGUCCAUCAAGCACUGUGCCGACAGGGCAAUCUUGUGACUAUUGCGGGAGGGACAUUUCAAUCACAUGUGAAACACCCCGUUUGGGGGUAUAUAACCACUCUGGCACCCCACUUCUUGGGUGCCCUUUCUUCCUUCGGGAAGAAAGGCCCCGGGCCAUGGUUCCUCAUAAAGCUUUGUUUAAUUUUCUCUUGCUAUUCUGUCUCAUGUGAAUUUAAUUCGUUCUCCAGCCAGACGAACCCCUAUUUGGGGAGAAGAAAUGUCCUCCUCCCCUACAGUUUUGGCGUAGUUGGCAGGCUGAAAUUUCCCUGGCUUAACACUGCUUGCUCCUAGACUGCUGCGGCUGAGAGAUCCCAGACCCCUGACGAGAGCCGGCAAGAGAUCUCAGAAGUGCUCCAGACACCCGUGGGAAACUCCAAAAGUUGGUGAUCCGUCCUGCUACCAGUCCCGCACAGCUACGAGUGGCUGCACGGAGGGUGCUCCAUAACCGGCUUGAAGCUGAGGAUGCAAAGGAAGACAAGAUGAUGAAAAGGCAGGCCGCCCUGCUCGCUGUGGCCCACCAGUCUCCUCAAGGAUACAGCAGCCCCUGAGAAGCGAGAGAUUCCCCUACAUGAUUCAAGCAGGGCUAACUCGGAACUAUGGGCCCAAGGACAGGUGGAGUGAGCAGCCGGUGCCACGCCAGGAAAGGUAAAACGGAAGCAGGACCUUGAAACCUCCCUCCAUAAGUUAUUCAGAUCAAAAUUCUCCCUGGAACCUCCUGAGUUGGCUGAGAACAGAGCAGCAAAGUCCACAGCAUUCUCCAAAGUUAGAGGCAAGAUUUUCAUCUUGAACUUCCUGGGCACACCCCUGGGCUCCUAAGCAGGCUUCAUCUGACGUUAAUUAUGGAUUUCAGGCCAUCCCCUUCUGUCUUUUUGAAUCUGGUCUGCCUACCAGUAUUUCAUGUUCUGGAGAAUAUCUUGGGUAUUUUCCAGGUGAAACUUCAGUGUUUCCUCAUGGCUUUGCUGCCUCGGUUGGUCCAACAGCUUACAGAGGUGGGCCUCCUGGGCCCACGUGACUUCACAUAUGUUAAGUCACUGUGAACCUGUGAGUGAAAACAUCUCACACUAGUUCUGUUCAAUGGGUUCUUACCCGCAAUGUGAGAUUUCUGCUUAUUGGAGGAGAUAAGAGGCACUUAAAAGACUGCCCACAGACGUUCAUUUUUUCAUUUCUAUAUGUAUGAAUUCUAGGCUAAUCAGUCAGUCAUAGUUCCUGGUUAAAAACCUUCCUCAUGUAAGUUACAUAUGCACGGUGUCUUACUCUCUUGCAUGCAUUGAGAUUUCUUCUUCUUUUGUUUUUUUUUUUUUUGAGGAAGAUUAGCCCUGAGCUAACAUCUGCUGCCAAUCCUCUUUUUGCUAAGGAAGACUGGCCUUGAGCUAACAUCUGUGUCCAUCUUCCUCUACUUUAUAUGUGGGACGUCUGCCAUAGAAUGGCCUGCCAAGUGGUCCCAUGUCUGCACUGGGGAUCCAAACUCGUGAAGCCUGGGCCACUGAAGUGGAACGUGUGAACUUCACUGUUGUGCC
rnacentral:lncRNA from 1 species